rnacentral:snRNA from 1 species
AUACUUACCUGGCUAGGAGGUUAACUGUGAUCAAGAAGGCAGUUCCUCAGGGGUGAGGGCCUUCCAUUGCACUAUUCGGUGGGCUUGACCUCCUCCAUUAUCCCAAAUGUGGAUAACUGGAUAGCAUUAUUUCUGGUAGUGGGGAUCUGCGUGCGCGCUAAUCCCCU